rnacentral:rRNA from 1 species
GACGAACCGAGCGAACGUUGUUCGGAAUCACUGGGCUUAAAGGGCGCGUAGGCGGCUUACCAAGUCAGGGGUGAAUUUUGCGGCUUAACCGUAACAGUGCCUUUGAUACUGGUAGGCUCGAGGGAGAUAGGGUCUGCGGAACUUCUGGUGAGCGGUGAAAUGCGUUGAUAUCAGAAGGAACGCGGUGGCGAAAGCGGCGGACUGGAUCUCUUCUGACGCUGAGGCGCGAAAACUAGGGGAGGCAAACGGG